AUGCGCAAGCGGCGUACGCGACAACAACACACUCCGGCAACAGGAGCUGCUGCUCUCCUUCCUCUUGGCCACCGUCUGGUCGUCCUCGACUCAGCCAUUCCCCCUCCCUGCACCCUCGAUGUCGACUAGGUUAUGGACGCACGAAUGAAGCUCGUAAUUUAGGCUGCAGCACUGAUAGCUAUGAUUCAGGCAUGGCUCAUGUUGAUGCACAAGAGAGUUGUUCGUCGUUGUGGGAGGCAUGUCAUCAGUCACGGUCCAAUGUUUAUCCGGGAUCAAGAGAGGAUGGUGAAUCUGAACUACAUCUAAAACCGCAACGACACAGAGGCUCUGUGGAUGCUUCAAAUGAAAAGAUCACCAUUUAGAAGGCUUGUGCGGACCAUCAGGAGCGGGAUGCUGCAAGAUAGCAUCCACACCUGUGUGGAAGAGCAAGUAGCCAUGCUCCUCCACGUUGUUGGUCAUAAUCAGAGGUUCAGGGAUAUGCACAACACCUUCAGGGGAUCAAUGUAGACCAUCUCCAGGUACUUCAACCAAGUGUUGUAUGUUGUUGGGGAACUCAGAGGAGAAAUGAUCGUGUCACCAACCAUCCGGACUCCUACCAAGAUUCGCACUAGCCCAAUAUGGUAUCAAAACUUCAAGGUGAGCACUGAAAGUAUGUACUUCAUGCCUUGA
rnacentral:rRNA from 1 species